rnacentral:rRNA from 1 species
GACGAACGCUGGCGGCGUGCUUAACACAUGCAAGUCGAACGGACAGGCCCUGCUUUUGUGGGGUGCUCGAGUGGCGAACGGGUGAGUAAAACGUGAGUAACCUGCACUUGACUUUGGGAUAACAUCAGGAGACUGGGGCUAAUACAGGGUAGGAGCUCCUGCUGCAUGGUGGGGGUUGGAAAGAUUCGGCGGUUGGGGCUGGACUCGCGGCUUAUCCGCUUGUUGGUGGGGUAGUGGAUUACAAAGGCUUUGACGGGUAGCCGGCCUGAGAGGGUGACCGGGCACCAGGGGACUGCGGUACGGCCCAGACGCCUACGGGAGGCAGCAGGGGGGAAUAUUGCACAAUGGGCGGAAGCCUGAUGCAGCAACGCCGCGUGCGGGAUGACGGCUUUCGGGGUGUAAACCGCUGUCGCCUGUGACGAAGCGUGAGUGACGGUAAUUGGUAAAGAAGCACCGGCUAACUACGUG